rnacentral:rRNA from 1 species
UUAAAAAGCUCGUAGUUGAAUUUCUGGUCAAUCGUAGUCUUGGCUUCGGUCGGGCUAUGGUUGGUCAUCCGUUUGCAAGCUGCACUCGGCCUUCACUGGUUCGGUGUAGUGAGCUGACAUUUUACUUUGAAAAAAUUAGAGUGUUUCAGGCAGGCUUUUGCCCGAAUACAUUAGCAUGGAAUAAUGGAAUUGGACUCCGGUUCAUUUGGUUGGUUAUUGGAUCUGAGUAAUGGUUAAUAGGGACAGUUGGGGGCAUUAGUAUUUAAUUGUCAGAGGUGAAAUUCUUGGAUUUAUUAAAGACUAACUUAUGCGAAAGCAUUUGCCAAGGAUGUUUUCAUUAAUCAAGAACGAAAGUUAGGGGAUAAAGAUGAUC